AGGAAGGUAGUGUAGUUAACACCUGCAUUUAUUUGACGUUACCUACAGAAGAAGCACCGGCUAACUCCGUGCCAGCAGCCGCGGUAAUACGGAGGGGUGCGAGCGUUAAUCGGAAUUACUGGGGCGUAAAGCGCAUGCAGGCGGCCUGUUAAGUCAGAUGUGAAAGCCCGGGGCUUAACCUCGGAAUUGCAUUUGAAACUGGCAGGCUAGAGUCUUGUAGAGGGGGGUAGGAAUUUCAGGUGUAGCGGUGAAAUGCGUAGAGAUCUGAAGGAAUACCAGUGGCGAAGGCGGCCCCCUGGACAAAGACUGACGCUCAGAUGCGAAAGCGUGGGGAGCAAACAGGAUUAGAUACCCUGGUAG
rnacentral:rRNA from 1 species